ACAGCUGCAGCCACGUCGCCUAACCAUUGCCGGAGAUGGGAGAUGUGAUUCUCCUGGACACACUGCCCUCUAUGGAAUCUACACCCUGCUCGAGACCACUGCCAACCGCAUAAUACACUUUGAAUUGGUCAAGGCAACCGAGGUAUCGAGCAGUAAUGCCAUGGAGAAGCAUGGGUUACAGAGGUGCCUGGCAUUCCUUGAAUGGAAUGAUAUGGUCGUAGACACCCUUAUUACAGACAGACACACUGGAAUCAAGGCGAUGAUGAGGGACUGCUCCCCCAGAUAAAACAUCGCUUUGAUGUGUGGCACGUCGUCAAAGGGGUAAAGAAGAAGCUAUUGGCACUUGGCCGCUCAGCAAGCCAUCAAGUGGUGAACUUGUGGGUUGAUAGCCUCGUUCGCCAUGCCUACUGGUGCCCAAAGACGAGUGGAGG